AACGAACGCUGGCGGCGUGGAUAAGACAUGCAAGUCGAACGCUCGUUUCAGGGUAGCAAUAUUCUGGGGCGGGAGUGGCGCAAGGGUGCGUAACACGUGGGUCAUUUGCCGUGAAGCUGGGGAUAACUCGUUGAAAGACGAGCUAAUACCCAAUGUGCUCCGCAAGGAGUAAAGCCGGGGACCGCAAGGCCUGGCACUUUACGAUAAGCCCGCGGCCUAUUAGCUAGUUGGCGGGGUAACGGCCCACCAAGGCUAAGACGGGUAGCUGGUCUGAGAGGACGACCAGCCACACUGGAACUGAGACACGGUCCAGACACCUACGGGUGGCAGCAGUCGAGAAUUUUUCACAAUGGGCGAAAGCCUGAUGGAGCGACGCCGCGUGGGGGAUGAAGGGCUUCGGCUCGUAAACCCCUGUCAUUUGCGAACAAAGGCGCCGACCUAACACGUCGUCGUCUGAUAGUAGCAGAAGAGGAAGGGACGGCUAACUCUGUGCCAGCAGCCGCGGUAAUACAGAGGUCCCAAGCGUUGUUCGGAUUCACUGGGCGUAAAGGGUGCGUAGGUGGUGGACUAAGUCGGGUGUGAAAUCUCCGGGCUCAACCCGGAGGGUGCGCCCGAAACUGGUCUGCUAGAGGAUAGGAGGGGAGACUGGAAUUCUCGGUGUAGCAGUGAAAUGCGUAGAUAUCGAGAGGAACACCCGUGGCGAAGGCGAGUCUCUGGACUAUUCCUGACACUGAGGCACGAAAGCCGGGG
rnacentral:rRNA from 1 species